ACGGUCCUACGUAUAUUAAACACAAUGAAGAUAAAGUAACAAAGAUAAAUAAUAUAACACUUUAACCGGAAACUUUAUUAAAACUUGAAAGGUGGCGUGUGUCGGUUGAUUCUUAACCUUCUUUUACAGCCGUUACAAAUAAUUAGAACAAAAGAAUUCUUUUGUUUAGCUGUUUCUAACGGCUUGAAGAAGAUUAUGAAUCGGCCGAAGAACGUUACCUUCCGGGUUAUUAAAGUUUCCUGUUUGUUCUGCUGUGUUGUUUAUCUUUCUGACUGUGUACAGCAGGUUGUCUGAACUUUGAAGAUAAAAUAUUGUCUGAGGAUUGUAAAUAAUCGAUGGAUAAAUUCAGCCAGACUCAUUAUCAAUUUUUCAAGUGUUACCUAUGGUUUUAAACUAUAUUUUUCAUCAGGAUCAUUGUUGCCUGUGUUCUUUGUAUCGAUACGAUACACAAUUGUGUUUUACGAUAAUUUACGUUUUAGACUUGCAUUUUAUCAGAUCAUACAAAUAUUGAGAAUUGGUAAGCAAUUUUAAAAUUUGCAUACUUAUUUUAUACACGUGGCUAGGACAUUUUCGUCCAAGAUAUGGAAACUCGUAUAUAUCGAUGGCUUAAUUUUAACAUUUUAUGGAGGUAAACAUGUCUUCUCGAGUAUGUUACACGUUAUAGAAAUAUCCAUUAUAUAGCAGGAUUAUUUAGCAAUUUAUCUCGUUUUUGAGUUAUGGAAAAUAUGGAUUUUGUUCCCUAGUGAUAAAUAUAGCCAGGAGAGUAAAGCACAUGCUCUACUUCGAAUCCGAUGGAGUUUAUAAAAGAAGAUAUUGCAGAGAGGGUUUUGAGAAUUAUAAAUUAUAAUGUGUGUGUGUGUGUGUGUGUGUGGUUCCUUUUUGAUGCAUCAGCUGCUAACAAUAACGUUAUUCUAAAUCGAUUGUUGAAUAUGAAAACACUUUUGAGGAAUAUGAUAGAUGAUGCUAUUUUUAGAAUUAUGAGGUGUAUUAUGUGGAUUUUUUUCCCCCAAUUUUAAUUUUUGGCCCUUUAUAGUAGAAGAUGGUUCGCUCUCCCAAACGUGUCAGAUGUACUUAGAAGUAAAGAAUCGAGCUUAACUAAAAGGAAGCAAAGCAUCAUUUCCCCGUUUUCCUAUAUCAUGUCGUAUCGAUUUUGUUGCUAGGUUCGAUUCCCGAUGCAGUUUCCUGUCUUAUAACUUUUUUUUUUUUUUUUUAUCGAGAAAGAGGAAAAAAAAAUUUCUUUCGGCAUGUUUCUGUUCUCAUGCCCUUUAAUAAUUGUUUGAGGAGGAUCUCCAGUAAGAUUCUCGAAAAUAUAAAAGUUAUUUACUUGGCAAGAUUGCAGUUUGUGGGUUGAAAGGUGGAUAAUUCAAAGGUGUGAAAGGAAAGGCGUUACAGAAAAAAAAUUGGGAAUAGAUAGGUGUUUCAAAGAGAGUGGAUGACUAUUUUCCUUUUCCUUCUGCUUUCUAACAGGAAUUUCUAUUUUAAAAUUCAUUUUAGUUAGAAUUUUAAAUAUUUUAACAAUAAAAUUAAAUCUCAGUAACCAUUACAAGUUUUAUAAUCGAUUCAGGACUAGAAUCGAUGCAUUCGCAAGUAAAUACGAAGUGCUAGCGAUUUAUAUUGUCGAAUGGUGAUUAUUAUGAUAAUCUUAGGAUUACCUUAUCGCUAAUAGCAUAAGAAUGAAUGGAGAUGGUGCAUAAAAUUCAUCAUUUCUAUAGCAACACGUCAAUAAGUGAUUAUUAUUUGCAGCACAGGUGCGAAUAGUAGUUUUAUUCAAAAGAAUGAACUUCUUUUAUUGCUACAAUAGCAGAUAUUCACUUCAAUAAAGCGACUAUAGAAUUACUAGUAGGGCAGCGAUGAAAGAGACCGUUAGCAUCACAAAUAUAUCCGAAAUAUUAAAGCGAAUGAAUUUUUUUUUUAUAUAUAUAUAUAUAUCCGUGAAGUUGCUUUUCAAUUUUACUCUUUUCUAUCAGUGCUAUAGUAAAAAAAACGUGAUUCUAUCUCACGAUUCUUUUUUUUUUCUCCUUUUU
rnacentral:lncRNA from 1 species